UCUGCGGUAGAUUAGUCAGUAACAUUUUAAUUUUUUCUUCAAGUGCUGUACCCUCAGGAUAAUUCGACUGAAAAUACAGACUCUGAUACUGAACAUUCAGAUAAUGAGACGGGUUCACCAGCUGAGAUGUCAGUAGAUGUUCCUGAGGAGGCAUCAGAGGAGAACAGCUGCUACGAGGACAGUGAUGAUGAAGACUAUGAGCCCCCGUUUUUUAUUCAGUUUGAUGGUGCCUAUAAAACUAAUAAAUGCCUGAAUCAAGCUCAGUCCACCAGCAAAGAGAACACUACACAUGAUGCUGCAGAGGCAGCGGAGCAGCCGGCAGAGGCAGACAAAAACCUGACUGAGAGCAGCAGCACUGGUAAUUACACAUACAUAACUUCCUCUGGAUAUUUAAAAUGGUUUGUGUGAAUCUGUUGUUGGUGAUAGAUGAUAGAUCUGUGUGGAGUAAUUAAUAUUAAUAUUGAUCU